rnacentral:rRNA from 1 species
GACGAACGCUGGCGGCGUGCUUAACACAUGCAAGUCGAACGGUAAGGCUCCAGCUUGCUGGGGUACACGAGUGGCGAACGGGUGAGUAACACGUGGGUGACCUGCCCUGCACUUCGGGAUAAGCCUGGGAAACUGGGUCUAAUACCGGAUAGGACCGCACCGUGGGGGUGUGGUGGAAAGUUUUUUCGGUGUGGGAUGGGCCCGCGGCCUAUCAGCUUGUUGGUGGGGUAAUGGCCUACCAAGGCGGCGACGGGUAGCCGGCCUGAGAGGGUGGACGGCCACAUUGGGACUGAGACACGGCCCAGACUCCUACGGGAGGCAGCAGUGGGGAAUAUUGCACAAUGGGCGGAAGCCUGAUGCAGCGACGCCGCGUGGGGGAUGACGGCCUUCGGGUUGUAAACUCCUUUCACCAUCGACGAAGGGUUUCUGACGGUAGAUGGAGAAGAAGCACCGGCUAACUACGUG